AGCUCUACUGCUAUACAAGAAUUUCAUACACUGGGUAAAUGUGUGUUAAAAUGUUUGUAAUUUGGUCGUUUUCUCUGGCUUUGCUUGCAGACACCGUUUUAUCACUUGUGAUCCAGCAAUCACCCGAAAACCUUCUGAUAGAGCCUAAACAGGAGGCCCGUCUUGACUGUUACCACGGAGAUAACAACUACCCCUACAUGCUUUGGUACCGGUACAAGUCCACAGCAAGAGACCAGCGCGCCAUGGACCUGAUAGGACUGCUUCACUACGAAAAGCAAAAUCUUGAGAAGGACUUUGAAAAUCUUGUCAACAUAACUGGCCACUCAAAGGGCAAAGCUCAGCUCAUAAUCUACAACAUAGAACCAACAGACACUGCAGAGUAUUUCUGUGCAGCUAGUUAACACGGUGCUUCAACACCCCCGGCUCCUUUACAAAAAGCCGGUGGCCCAUCACAUCAAACGUGCACCUGCACCAAACCAAAGCUGCCUGAUAAAGAAGUUGUGACUAUAAAGUCUGUAGUCACACAAUCUCCCCUUCUAGGAAGAGCUAAUGUUAUCUGGGAGGCUAGGAAACCAGGAAGUUAGGGAGAGCUGCUGUUGGCUGGGAAGGUAGGAAGCAAGGAAGAGCUACUAUUAACUGGGAGGCAAUGACCGUAGGAAUAAAUACUAUUAGUUGACAAGGUAGGCAGCUAGGAUGAGCUAACUGCUAAUAUAAAUAGCUGGGAGGCUAAGAAGCUAGGAAGAGAUACUAUUAGUUGGGAAGGGAGAAAGCUAGGAAAAGCUGUUAGCUGCAAGGGUAGGAAGCUAGGAGGUGCUACUAUCAAG